GGGAGAAGCAGGCUCCAUGCAGGGAGCCUGAUGUGAGACUCCAUCCUGGGACUCCAGGAUCACGCCCUGGGCCCAAGGACAGGUGCCAAACCUCUGAGCCACCCAGAUGUCCUUGGACCUCACUUUUGAGUUUAGUAAAAUGCCUGUCUUUUUAAGCUGUGAUCAAAAUCCAGGAGAAGAUUCUUCAGAUACUUCGGUAGACCUGUAAACAAGGAAGCACUUAAAGCCCAUCUGAAGAUUUAAACUACCCUGACUGCUUUUGUUUAAUAAUUGGGAUUCUGGAAGCUUCUGCCUGAAAGGAGUCCCAUAGCUAAAGAAGUUUGGAACCCAUUAAGAAUCCAUGACCCUGACUUGACCUUCCAGCUCUGACAAUCUUUGGUUAUAUAGCCACACAGUUCGAAUGCUCUCAGAGAAGGUGGUAGAAAAACUUUCUUUUGUUUUGCGUUCUGGUUAUUAAAAGUCAGCACGAAUCUUUGCAACAUUGAGAGACCAGCUUUGAGGAUAAUUUGGGUCUUCAAAGAACACUCCUCUGCCUCCUUGCAAAAGUUGUGUUAAAGCAAUUAAAUAUUAUCUGAAGGAAAGAAAAAAAACGUAAGCUGACUACUGAAUAACAGGAAUCGUGUUAACAAAACAAUCCUUACCCCGGGAUCAAAGCCAGAGAGAGGCAGGGAGAUGCUAUGCAGGGGAUAAGAGGAGAGGGGGAGAUGAGGAGGUGUUAGGAUGGCUUCAGUUCAAUUAGGGAUGCGAGUGCACAAUUUGGGGAUAGUCUUCUGAAUUCAGAACAAUAGCUGGCAACAGAAACAUGAGUGGCCCCACGAGAACUCACGAUGCAAGAAACACUGGAUUCUGCGUCUCUGUUCAGACAAGGGGCCAAAUAAAGGAACAAAACAAACAAGUGGACAUAAUUGUUUGCCAUUCAAGGGAGCCACAGACCGCUCAGCAUAUGGUGUGUGGAGAUUCCGGAAUGCACGGGCAAUCUCAUUUGGAACGACUAUUCUUGUUCCAGAAGCCUGGGAGCCAGAUGAGCACGAGGCUGACUGAAUGAUGAGGUGGAUCGUACUCUCCAUUUCCGAGGCAGAAACAUUCUUUCUCAGCUUCAGCGCCCAAGGUAUUCACCAGACUUGGCUCCAGUGGACAUGUACUGUUUCCAAAACUCAGAUCUCCCCUGCAAAGGAUGAAGAGGUGCCAUUACUGAAGAGAUUUUGAAAAUAUGUUAGAGACUGAAGAGAAUCUCCAGAAAGGAGGGGCAAAAAGUCUUUUGAGUAGCGUUGGAAAUAAGGGCAUGGAGUCCUCAUAAGCCAGUGGGCGCAUGGGAUGCCUGGUUGCUCUUGUUACCCUAUUUGUGGAGCUCUUAGACAACAGGGAAGAUGGAGCUGUGGCCCCAGAGGGCCUGCGAGAGAUUACUUGCUCAAGGUGAAGCCAGAUGCCAUGAAGCCAGGACACUCGGGCUGGCUGUAGAGAGAUCCACAUUGGCGGGAACUUAGCCCUGCCAGCAGCCACAGGAGAGGUGGAUCCUCUGGCCCCAGAUGACAGCAGCUCCAGCCCAAGUUCCAUCUUUGUAAAGAGACCCAGAGCCAGAACCACCCAGCUAAGCUUUUCCCCAAAUCCUGACCCACAGAAACUAGCAUUGGAGACAACUCAGCAUCCAUCUUUUUGGAACCUGAUGCUGAGCUCCAGUGCCUCAUGUCCCUGAUCACAGUGGCCUCUAACCCAUGGCUCAUCCAAAUCCCUCAGGGCUCAGGGGGAAGCCAGCUGUCAUGUUAUAAGAACCCUCAAAUAGCCUGAUGGAGAAUUUGUGGUGAGGAACUGAAGCUUCCUGCUAAUAACUAGCUGCCAUGUGAGUGAACCACUCUGUAGUAUUUGAUAUCAAAGUAUUCCAGAGUACCAACAAAUCCAAAUGGAUUUCUUGGAACUUGUUGCAACAGCAAUUAAUCCAUUUCACUUCUUGGGCUGCUGAUCAUCCUGUACACCUUUAUGUUUGGAAGAGGAGCUUUUGUUGUUUGCAGUGAAGACCCCCAGCAGACCCCUGCUGUAAUGACCUGCAUGGGUCCCCAUCUUUGUGGCUUGCCUCUCUCCACACUUGGCUUCAGAGUGUGGCUGCUGCUGCCAAUGGUGUUCUUGGAGAAUUUACUUAGUCAAACUCAGCCAGAAGCCUGGAUUCAGGUCUGGGGUUCUACAGCUAAUAAGGCCACGUAGAGCUUGGACAACAUUAGAAAGAAACCCCCAGAGAAGUUUAAAGCAUGAAAAUUGAAUUUCUGACAAAAGGCCAACCUAACUUGGACUCUUUCCUCUGGAGAAGAAAAGCCAUCAAGUAUGUGAAAGACCACUCCACAGAAGGUUGUGGAUAAUUGUUCUGUCUCUACUAAGAAUAAAA